rnacentral:lncRNA from 1 species
GGAGUACGUAUUAACUUUUGUAAAUGAAUACCAUGUAUGUGGAUAACUCUUGCUGACCAAGCUUUGGCCUGAGACAUGAAUUACUUUCCAUAAUAUCAUGCGUGAAGGUGGGAACCUUGUAUUGAACGCUAGCUUUCCAUGAACUUCGCGCCAAGGUUUUUGGCCCGGUGGAAUGUAUGGUUCUGGAGAUAGAACUUUACUCUCUCAAGGCGGGAGGUACAGUCUCUGGGUGGAAGCAAGGUAAGGCUAUGGCGGUCACCACACCAAUGGACUUUUUGUGCAAAAACUCACUACACUGAUGGAUAAGCACACGUUCUUCAUAAUCUACGAGCACCAAGCAAAAACACCUUCUAUGACAUGCACCUGUGUUCACAAUAGUUUCUUAUUUUUGCUUCCUUUUUAACUUUGCUAUUAGACACACAAGUUGGAGUACAAACAUACAUACCAUACACAAAUAAUUUAAAUUCAUCCAUGUUCGUGAACGGUACAAAUAACAAAGCACACAAGAUAUUCGCAAAGGGAAACAGUGCAUGUCUGCCAGUGGUUAUAAGAGGCAAUGCAUAUUUAAAAAGAAAAAUGCUCAUAAUUGAUCCGUUGCAUAUACACAUGCAAAUCUAUGAGUUUUAAGUAAUAUUUUUCGCGCUGUAAAAUGUGGUGGAACUGCAAUGAAGCCCCAACCUUCCACUCGACUUUCUACAAAUCUGAGCAUUGCCAGUGACAAUUGCGACAUCAACGUAUAAACAAAAACGCCGCAUCACAAAUCACAACAGAGAUGCUCAUCAAGCAUCGACAGUUUUUGUGUCUAGCUUCUUUUCAGCUUCACCGAUGACCUCUCCAACAAAGCGGACAGUUUUCUCAUGUCCUCCUCUUGGACGCCCUGAGGAGCCUUCUCUCUGUAGCCCGAAGCAUCCAUCUUCUGUGACAAGGCAUGCCGUAGCCUGCACACAUCCACAGCAAACCAUGCUACUUACUGAUACAAUCAAGUACAAAAAAGAAACCUAGCCAUAUAUCUCCACUGUUCAAACCAGCUGGGAGAAACAAUAUAGACUUACUUCUGAAUUUCGUCUCUCUUUUUCUUUAGCUUUUCACGCUCAGCUUCCGCAUUUAGAGCUCCUUGAAGCUGGAGGUACACGCUCAGAUCUUUGUUCACGACAGUAGUUGUGCAAUCAGGUGGAGUUUGAUCACUCUCUGCCAGGAGCUGCAGAAUUUUCAAUAUCACAUCAGUGGUUAAAGUCCACUACAGGAUAGCUCCACUUAUGGUUUCAGCAUAAAUUACAAAGAACAAAGUACAAACUAAUUUCAGAUGGCAUGGCAGAAAAAACAGGCACUUCCCUAGUAUAAAAAGAAUAAUCACAUGAAAGUGUAAAGUGAAAACCUUAAGGGACGAGAUAGAAGAAAGAGUGACGGCUAAAGAUUGAUAGCAUUGAACAAUGGCAGCAAUCUCUUGGCUUCGACAAAGUGCAAAAGCAGGUCGCCUGUACAUGAAAGAAGAGGCAAUAGGAUAUUAUGUUUCGACAAGCCAGAUGUACUGAACAAGAGGCAAUCAAGCAGUUGGCCUGCAUAAUACAGAAACAGGGAAGUCCAGAAAGUUGAUCAACCUUUCAUUUGUAUUCGUUGGUGGCCUCAGGGAUCUUAGUUUGUUCACAGUGUCCAGGACCAUAUCGAUUUCGUUUUCAAGAUUAUCAUAUGCCCAUUCUUGUCAUAAAGAAUAGUGUCUUCCCACUGGUAAAUAUAGGUAUCUAAAGGUGAAGUUCUCUGGAUUUACUUACAAUCAUCAUGAGUGUUUACCUUAACAACAGAUGGGUAUUCUGAUAACAUGAUGGAACCUUUCCUGCAAGAAUCUUUGGGCUGAGGAAGACGCUGCCAUAACUCUUCUGUUACAUAGGGCAUGAAUGGGUGAAGCAGGCGCAGGCCGGUGUCCAGGCAAAUCCAUAAUGCAUCUCUACAGGCAGCUCUGGUUGAUUCGAACUCUUGAGAGUCAUUGAAAAAGUACGGUUUUAUGGCCUCUAUGAAUACAUCACAUAGUUGUUACUGCCACCAUGAGUAUAUAGCAGAUGUUGCAUCUGCGAAUUUAUAUGCUUCUAAUGAGCUGACAGUCUUCCCAAUAGCCUUGUUAAGUACUGAGAGUAUCCAUUUACAGAUUGGUGGCAUCUGAGACACAGCAACAGUUGCCGGCGGAGUGCACUGUCCACCAAGCUUGCCCAUUGCAAAACGAAUGGCAUUCCACAAUUUAUUGCACCAUUGUCUGUACCCCACCACUCUCUUGAUAUCCAGAUUGAUCUUAUCAGACUGUAAAACAAAACAAAAAUUAUGUUAAAAGAUGUGAACUGGAAGCACAAUACAACAUAAAAUCAAAUGGGUGUGACUACAACCUGAGAAGUGUAAGAAAUCAGUGCAAAGCGGAGGGCAUCAGUGCCACAUUCAGGAAUUCCAUCAGGAAAAUCUUUCUUCUUCUCUUCUCUUGCAAUUUCCAGUUCAUUUGGAUCCAGAUUUCCUUCUUCCAAACGUUUGAGGAGUUCUUCAAGUGUUAUACCAUUUAUCACAUCAGGGGAUCAAUGACAUUCCCAAGCGAUUUGGACAUUUUCCGACCAUGUGCAUCACGGAUCAUAGGAUGCAAAUAAACCUGAAAAAGAAGGUGUGGUCAUUACUCAAUAUACAAUUGAAGCAUACAUUCAACUAGAUUGCCUCACUUGACUAGUAUAGUUCAAAUAGGCUGUAGAUCAAUAUGGUUGGUUCAAUAAGUAAUUUUCAAAUGCAAACCGAAAAAUAUCUUGCAGACAGAAAUGAAAGGUAAGUCUGCAAGUUUAUGCAUUUAGUAUUACAUUACAGGAUCAACUCAGUAGAGCAACAGAGUUCAUUCGGGACAAAAUUAGAGCGGCUUGUAGAGACAAAUGGCGGGGCAGAGAAUAUCUCAAAAUGAUCAAGUUCGUCAAUUCAUCAACAAAUAUCUGGGGAAUGAACAGUGUGUUAUUUUGAGAAGAAAUUACACAUACAAAGUAGCCCCAUGUGGAGCUUCUAGUUUGUAAAAAUAUAUCUACACAUACUGCCAAGAUUAAAGGUAGAAUGACAGUUUUGGACUCUUAGUUAUACUUUUACCCUAAGCACAGUUUCACUGUGUCAAGGGGGAGUGCAGAGACAGCUAUUGGCAAAAGAGAUAUAAAUAUUGGACCAUUGGACUUAUGGAUUACUGUUUUAGGGGUAGGGUGUGCCCAUUUGUGCCAUUACCUUUUCAAACGGCACAUCGCCACCUAGUUGCAUUCCCAUCAUAACCAUACGGGCUACCCAGAAAAAGAGAAUAUCAAGUCCAGUUUCGAGUACUGAGCCAGGGUAGAAAGCCCUAAGAUCAGCGGUGUCAUCUGGCCAACCAAGUACUGUUAAUGGGAAUAGACCAGAUGAAAACCACGUAUCCAACACAUCAGGAUCUUGAUUUAACUGGAAUUUCUUCCCCGGAUACUUUUGCUUUGUCUCAAGGUUCGCAUCACUUUCAUUUCUUGCAUCUAUCCAACGUUCAUUGUUGGAACCCAGAUCGGUCACUUGAUCUUCUUCAAGUGUCACAUACCAUGCAGGUACACGAUGGCCCCACCAGAGUUGCCUUGAGACACACCAAUCACGUAUAUUUU